rnacentral:lncRNA from 1 species
ACUCUCUACUUCGGCAGCGUUUUCGGCCGCAGGCGUUGCGGGCCGCCGCUGCGACCGUGUCGCUCGUUUUCACGAGGUCGGCUCGGUUGCUUCGGCGCGCGCGCGGAAGAAACGGGCGCAGCCGGCCUGUGCGAGCGAAGCGAGGGGGUGGAAAUACAGGUAGCGCCAUCUGUCGGCGCAGCCGUCAAGCGUGUCUUCUCGGCUCGAGAGAGCUGCUGCGAAGGCGAGGGUGCUAAGCCUAACGCCACGCUUCUCCCUCCCUCCCUCCGUGACCCUCGCUCGCGCUGCUUACAGCCUCGCGUACUACUACGCUGCUAACGCCGCUGCGUUUCGCGAGGCCCCCCCUCUCUAGCGGCUUGCUGUGGCUGGCUGCGGACUUCAGCGCCUGGAAGUAGCCCGGAAAACGACUGCGGCGUCGUCGUCGACGACAGAACAACAAAACAAAAAGCUGCGGCGUCUGCAAACAAGAGUGCCAGCGGUGGUGGUUGGUGGUCGCGGAAUAUCGGUUCCAUCCGGAGGAGGCUCGCAUUUCGACGGUGCCUGUGUUGUUCAAAGUGGGGUGGUGGUGCUGGUAGUAGUGGUGGUGCUUGCUGGUGUAGUACGAGGCCGCGAGCUUUCUAAAGGCCGGUCUUCUUCUUCCACGGUGGAUGCUGUUGUUUGCUGCGUCGACGACUGCGCUGCGGUCAAGAAGCCUAUCCGGCGCUUGUUGUCUCCGCUGCGUGCCGGACCCCUUUCUUGGAUGUGUCCUACCGUACGUAGCUGCCUCUCUCCUCGCGGUCGGUGAGGUGGCUUCCCCACGUAGCGCGUCCCGCGACGUCUAAAGGCCGUCCCCCGGGGUUCUCUUUUCCUUGCGUGUGUCUCUCUCUUUGGUGGUGGGAGUAGUUGGUGUGGCCCUCGGCAACCCGGCGUCGUCGUCCCGGCGGUGAUGGCCCCGUUCUCGGCGCGCGCGCCGGAGAACCAGCGCUCGCGGGUCUGCGGCGCGGCUGUGUCGUCGACGACGAGCAUUGUCGAAGCCGCCGAGCGUCGUCGGGCGUGAUGAGCGAACGCCACCACCACAGCCGCCAGCAGCAGCCGCACCGCCGGUGCUCCUCGUCCCAGCCCUCGGAUGCGCCGGACGCCGGCCGCAGGCUGAAGCAGCGGCCCAAGAAGGAGACCGCGGCGGCGGCGCCGUCGCCCGCGAGGGCUGCGACCUCCUCGCGGACUGCGCCCUCGCGACGGCCCAGCGAGGCGGCCAAGGCGGCCACCGGGGCCCCCGCCCGCGCGUAGGAAC